CUUUUGAUUGAAAAACUCCUAGCACAACACAUUUUGUUUAGGACUCCUGUAAUAUAACUAUUUUUGUUUUCUUAUUUAGGAUGAAACUAAAGAAAAGGUGUCUCAUGGAUAUCUCACCAUGUGACCAGGGAGAAGAUUAUGAUGCAGAUUCAAGUGGUGGAUCAAACAUGCUUUUGCCACCCAGGAGCAGUUCUGGUGACAACAGUUCCCUGUUCAGGGCACUACCAACUCUCUUCCCAUCACAAGCUGCACCACCCAAGAAGAUGGGACAUGUCAGUGAAGCACUGAUUCAUGUCCUUCAGGUCUGGUUUCUUCAUAUUUGUUAUCAAAUAAUGUCCCUAAAGCAUUCACUUUAACAGUUUAUUUGGCAUAUGGCCUUUUUAUCCAUGCAAGUCCUGCAACAAUGUAGUUUAUAUUUGGAAAAGUGUGCAGAAAUCUGAAAUGGCACAAACACUGAUAGAUCAAAAAUUUCAUUAAAAAAAAAUAAGAAAAUCAUAAAGAAAUUAAAAACAAAAUGGAAAUAAUUACAUAUUUAACUAUCACAGGUGCAGUACCUUUGUCAUUUCCUGAAGUGUGUAAAGACAUAAUCCUAACAGUGAUGAGGCAGAAUUUAUUACAUUUUUCAAACAUGAAUAUUUGGGAUUUUCUAUACAGUAUUUGUCAAUCUAAAGAAAAAUAACAUUAAUAUGGUCUGUAGCGCAUCUGAUCUAUGGUUGUCAUCAUUCAUAUAUCACCCCAGGGGUGCACCCCAAAGGGAUCAAUAAAGUAAAGUCUACUUGUGGUUAAGUAUUUGAACUACCCUGAUAGCUUUGAAGUUGAAAUUGAUACUUGAAUUUAUUUAUUUAUUUUUUUAAUUCUUUGUUCUGUAUUACAUUAAUAAAAGUACUUUUUUUCUUUAAACACAUCUGUUCUGCAAAUUCUGUUUAAAAUUUCAAAUGCUCAUUUUAUAUGUUGAGUAGUUAACUGGUUUAACAGUUCUAAAAGGAACACAAAAUAACAAUGUUACACUUACAAUGUGUCUUUAAAUUUUUGUAUACUAUGAUUGACUGAAAUAUUUGUUACUGUUUGGAGAGUUUGUUUCCAAUAAAGGUCAUGCACACAGUA